rnacentral:tRNA from 1 species
UUCCUGGUGGCUAAAAUGGUAAAGAAUCUGCCUGCAAUACAGGAUACCCAGGUUCAUUUCCUGGGCUGGGACG